GACAGAGGGGGCAAGCGUUGCUCGGAAUUACUGGGCGUAAAGGGCGCGUAGGCGGGAUGGCAAGUCGGUCGUGAAAUCCUUCGGCUCAACCGAAGAACGUCGAUCGAUACUGCUGUUCUUGAGGGUUGCAGAGGAGACUGGAAUUCCCGGUGUAGCGGUGAAAUGUGUAGAGAUCGGGAGGAACACCGGUGGCGAAGGCGGUUCUCUGGGACGGUACUGACGCUGAGACGCGAAAGCGUGGGGAGCGAACAGG
rnacentral:rRNA from 1 species